ACCGCAAAAGACACUGCAUGAAAACAAACCAAGCAAGCAAACAAACAAAGAAGAAGUGGAUACUCCGCAGUCUAAGAAAAUCUGAUAUAGAAGGGGGCUUCACACAGGACCAAACUAUCCCAGAAGAUACCUGUGGAGAAUGCAAAUAAAUAUGUCUUCUUUGAGAUAUGGUCACGUUGCAGAGCCUACAGGAAAAAAUCUGAGCAGGACUGUGCCUCUUCUAACAGUAUAUUCUGGUACUUGAUUCUCCAGAUAUUAUAUGGUACCAUCUUGAAUUUGCUGUAUGAACAUUGGUUGCUAUGGAAAUAAUCAUCUCCUAAAUUCAGCAUUACUGAUUUUGGUUAAUAUGGGAAUGCUUGAGUGUGGCUCCUCUUCAGAUCGGAGCUGUACCCCUAUGAUAAGGUUCUGUGUUGAGGAAUGGCUCCACAGCCAAGGGGGCCAUGGGUCUCUUGAACGGCUGUACGAGCAGGACAGGCCUAAUAGUUGGCAGGAGAUACAAGUGGAAAAGUACUAGCUUGCUAUGCUAUGAUGGCUCAGGGAGCAAGAACUUGCUGAGCUCAGGUGCUACGUGCGCAACUCAAGCUAGAAGACCUUGAGGCUAUGAAAGCACAAAGAAGAAGCUGAGGCUGCAGCUAAGAUAAGGGGGAAGCUCGCCUGGGAAGAGACUGAGUAAUGGAAUACAAAGAACAAUGCGAUGAUUAAUGCUGUAUCUGUAGCUAGGCGAGCGAGGUGUGUGACUCCACGGCCAAUGGUAUUGUAGGGCCAGGGGCUCUCGCAAUGCUUCAACCAAUUAUAAGAUGACAUGCUUUUGCCAGGAUCUAUAUAUGUGUGUAAGCAACGGAUAAUAAACGGAGAUUCUGAUGCA